UACGUAGGUGGCAAGCGUUGUCCGGAUUUACUGGGCGUAAAGGGCGUGCAGGCGGUUUGUUAAGUGCAGGGUGAAAGCUCCCGGCUCAACUGGGAGAGGUCCUUGCAUACUGGCAAACUCGAGGGAGGCAGAGGAAAGUGGAAUUCCCGGUGUAGUGGUGAUAUGCGUAGAUAUCGGGAGGAACACCUGUGGCGAAGGCGGCUUUCUGGGCCUUACCUGACGCUG
rnacentral:rRNA from 1 species